CCAAUCAGGAAACUUGGGUAUGAGAGGGAAUGAAGGGGCGGGGUGGGAUCUCAGUCAAGCCGGGACUGGAGCGGCGACAAUUUUGGCUUGUCUGAGAAGGGCAUUCGAGUGACCGUUGACAACGGGUGAGACAGCGUCAAGGCUGAAGAAAGAACCUUAACUAUAUGCUUCCAGGACUUCUAGCUAGUUAAUAUUUAAAUAUUUCCCACCAUUCCAUGAGACAUAGGAGCAGAAGUUUUACUUUUACUUCUUCAGAAUCUUCUCUGUGCCCCCAAAGGCUGACAUCUAGGAGUUGGUUCAAGAGAUGACCUGUCCUCUGACUACUGGAUGAAAGUCCAACAGAAAGCUUCUGCAAUAGAAAAGUAAAGAUGACAGAGCAGGCAGAGCCGUGAAGAACCAUUCCCAGGGAGCGCAGACCUAAUCAAGAAACAUGGUGUAUCCCUGGAGACAGAGGAAAUGGAUACAAUGAUGAGUCAGCAGUCUACAACCCAGAAGAGGUUCCUCACCAGAACCGAAUUAUGGUGGUACCAUGAUUUUAGACUUCCAGCCUUGAGAAUUCCGAAAGCCCGACUCAGACUGAAACAUAGGCUCUUCCUGGGACUCUGGCCUGCCUGCCUUCACACCGGAAUGACGCUGUCCAGUCUCCUGGAUCUCAACCUUGCCAGCUUACCCUGUAGACACUGGAAUUGUCAGUCUCUAUAAUCACUCAAGUCAAUUCCUUAUAAUCUCUCUUUCUCUUCCUCUCUUCCUCUCUCUCUCUCACAUAUGUCUAUAAAUCACCCUAUUGAUUUUGGAGGACUCUAAU